GACGAACCGUGCGAACGUUGUUCGGAAUCACUGGGCAUAAAGGGCGCGUAGGCGGCUUAUCAAGUCAGGGGUGAAAUCCGGCAGCUCAACUGUCGAAGUGCCCUUGAUACUGACGAGCUCGAGGGAGGUAGGGGUGUGUGGAACUUCCGGUGGAGCGGUGAAAUGCGUAGAGAUCGGAAAGAACACCAACGGCGAAAGCACUCUGCUGGGCCGACACUGACACUGAGAGACGAAAGCUAGGGGAGCGAAUGGG
rnacentral:rRNA from 1 species